CAGUAGCCACGGUAAUACGAAGGGUGCAAGCGUUAAUCGGAAUUACUGGGCGUAAAGCGUGCGUAGGCGGUGAGUUAAGUCUGCUGUGAAAUCCCCGGGCUCAACCUGGGAAUGGCAGUGGAUACUGGCUCGCUAGAGUGUGUCAGAGGAUGGUGGAAUUCCCGGUGUAGCAGUGAAAUGCGUAGAGAUCGGAAGGAACAUCUGUGGCGAAGGCGACUAUCUGGGCCAACACUGACACUGAGGCACGAAAGCGUGGGGAGCAAACAGGAUUAGAUACCCCGGUAGUCCCUGUCUCUUAUAC
rnacentral:rRNA from 1 species